rnacentral:tRNA from 1 species
GUGAGGCCGUGUACACUGGCUGUGCCUGUCGGCUGUGACCCGGCAGAAGGAGUUCGAAUCUCCACCUCACACCA